UAUGAAGUUUGUGACGCACUGUGU
rnacentral:siRNA from 1 species